UGAUAGCGUUGAAGCGUGAGGUUGCCGUCCCUUGUGGCGGGUUUUCCGUGGAGCGAAUGUCAAGUUAGGAAACUGGCGACAA
rfam:Clostridium hathewayi WAL-18680 genomic scaffold supercont1.3, whole genome shotgun sequence.